AUUGAACGCUGGCGGCCUGCCCUACACAUGCAAGUCGAACGGCAGCACGGGAGCAAUCCUGGUGGCGAGUGGCGAACGGGUGAGUAAUAUAUUGGAACGUGCCCCGCCGUGGGGGAUAACGCAGCGAAAGCUGUGCUAAUACCGCAUACGAUCUAAGGAUGAAAGCGGGGGAACGCAAGACCUCGCGCGAUUGGAGCGGCCGAUAUCAGAUUAGCUAGUUGGGGGGGUAAAGGCCCACCAAGGCGACGAUCUGUAGCUGGUCUGAGAGGACGAUCAGCCACACUGGAACUGAGACACGGUCCAGACUCCUACGGGAGGCAGAAGUGGGGAAUUUUGGACAAUGGGCGCAAGCCUGAUCCAGCAAUGCCGCGUGCAGGAUGAAGGCCUUCGGGUUGUAAACUGCUUUUGUACGGAACGAAACGGCCCUUUCUAAUACAGGGGGCUAAUGACGGUACCGUAAGAAUAAGCACCGGCUAACUACGUGCCAGCAGCCGCGGUAA
rnacentral:rRNA from 1 species